rnacentral:misc_RNA from 1 species
GGUCACUCACUCAUCACGAAAUCUCCGAAACUAUAACACCUACAAACUUGAAAUUUGGCAGGUAGGCUCUUUAUAGGACAUAAACAUCCGGUAAGAACGGAUUUUACGAAACUCAACCCCAAGGGGGGUAAAACGGGGGUUGGAAUUUUGUAUGAAAGUUCUAUAUUUUUGAAGUAAGAGACUUGAAAUUUAAAAUGUAUGCUCUAUAGAUGGUGAGAAGGUGUCCAAAUAAUGUAUCUUUAGAAAUCAACUUCCUUUUGGGGUUAAAACGGGGGAUGGUACGCUGACUCACUCAUCG